UACAGAGGGUGCGAGCGUUAAUCGGAAUUACUGGGCGUAAAGCGCGCGUAGGCGGCUUUGCAAGCCGGAUGUGAAAUCCCCGGGCUUAACCUGGGAACUGCAUUCGGGACUGCAUUGCUCGAGUAUGGGAGAGGGAAGUGGAAUUUCAGGUGUAGCGGUGAAAUGCGUAGAUAUCUGAAGGAACAUCAGUGGCGAAAGCGACUUCCUGGACCAAUACUGACGCUCAUGUGCGAAAGCGUGGGGAGCAAACAGG
rnacentral:rRNA from 1 species